CUCAGCUCCUCCUUCACCACUAUAGUCCGGUACAGCGACCACAUUACUGCUGCCGCUGCUCCCAGUCUGUGGCCGAUCUCACGCUCCCUUCUCCACUCACUCGUGAACAAGACCCCAAGAUACUUGAAUUCCUCCAUCUGGGGCAAAAACUCUCCCCUUACCUGGAGGGGCCAUACCAUCCUUUUCCGUGAGAGAACCAUGGAUUCAGACUUUGAGGUGUUGAUCCUCAUCCCCACUGCUUCACAUUCAGUUGCAAACCGUUCCAGUACGUGUUGGAGGCAGCCAUGUGACGGUGGCAAAAGGACAACAUCAUCCGCAAAAAGCAGAGACGUCACCUUUUGACUCCCACACAGAAUGCCCUCCUGACCUCGACUGCGCCUUGAUAUCUUGUCCAUGAAAACCACAAACAGGAGUGGAGACAAGGCACAACCUUGUGUCUAAUUAGUUAUUAAUAAUUAUGUUAUCCAUUCUGAUGACACUGGUUUUGGGAAUCUAAAUGAAACAAUGGACACGUGAAGAUGUAAAAGACCUCAAUGCCAGGCCACCCAGGCACCCCCUGGCAGUCACAUCUGAUCAGGCUCCAGCUGACUGAGCAUGGUGAUGUGGAGACAGUCAACAUUUCAAGAUCUCUGCAGAGCUGAAGGGAGCAAGGGGAAGUGGAGUUUGAUAGCUUGUAUCUCUAUUCAAGAAAUGAUGUUCGCUCCUCAAAGACCUUCUUCCUGUCCCUUGGUUCUGACUUCAGUCCGCUCCCUACUCAACUUCCACAUUCCGUGAGGCUGUGCAACCGCACUUGGGUCCGACGCACCACAGCCAACAUGAUAGAAGGUUCCGC
rnacentral:lncRNA from 1 species